GAUGAACGCUGGCGGCGUGCCUAAUACAUGCAAGUCGAGCGAACAGACGAGGAGCUUGCUCCUCUGACGUUAGCGGCGGACGGGUGAGUAACACGUGGAUAACCUACCUAUAAGACUGGGAUAACUUCGGGAAACCGGAGCUAAUACCGGAUAAUAUAUUGAACCGCAUGGUUCAAUAGUGAAAGACGGUUUUGCUGUCACUUAUAGAUGGAUCCGCGCCGCAUUAGCUAGUUGGUAAGGUAACGGCUUACCAAGGCAACGAUGCGUAGCCGACCUGAGAGGGUGAUCGGCCACACUGGACCUGAGACACGGUCCAGCCUCCUACGGGAGGCAGCAGUAGGGAAUCUUCCGCAAUGGGCGAAAGCCUGACGGAGCAACGCCGCGUGAGUGAUGAAGGUCUUCGGAUCGUAAAACUCUGUUAUUAGGGAAGAACAAAUGUGUAAGUAACUAUGCACGUCUUGACGGUACCUAAUCAGAAAGCCACGGCUAACUACGU
rnacentral:rRNA from 1 species